UCUGACAAAGUGCCGCCGAGGGGCAGGCUGCUGCUUAGAGGGGAAUUAGCUCCGAUCCAUGAAGGCACCCUGCAGUCAGAUCUCUUGGCCAGGCCAGCGCUGGGAAAGAGGCCCAGAAGCAUCCCAGAACCCUGAGCCGUGAUUCAGUCUCACCCUCAGAGGAGGGGGCUUGUGUGGGUGCAGCGUGCUGAAUUGGGGGGGAGGAGACACUUUGAGUCACGCCAUCCGCCUUCUUUUCUGGGAGUCAUCUGGGUGGCAGGCAGCGUUUCCUGCAGCAGUGAGCCGAGGAGGCUACGCAGCCCUCCCAUCGCUCCUGCCUAGGCCGUGGUGGGGAUGCAGGCGGACGCGGUGGCCACAAAAUGGGGAAGGAAGUGAAGCCCUGCGCCCUGUGCCAAGGCUUUACUGCUGCGAGGACUUUCAGGAGAGGCUGAAACAACAACAAACCAGUAAAAACAAUGCUACCUUAGGGAAGCUCCCAGGAACUAAACUAGUCCACAUUGGAGAGAGCAGAUAAAUCCCUACAAGCAAAGAGUUGCUGUUGAUGAAUGGCAGGGAUAGUGCCCAUAUGCUGUGGGCUGACGACGUGCUAGGCCCCAGCUCCAUGCUUCCCAUGAGAAUGUCCUCGGCGAGCAUCCAGAGAACCCCUACAAGGCAGAGAAAGUAAAUUUUAGCAUGCUGAGGUGGCCUGCUGGGGGUUUGACAGUCAGUGCAUGGUGGAGCCAGAGUUGGAUCUCAGUGUGGUAAGUUUUAGAACUCCCCCAGUGUCCUUGCACAGGUUAACUCAACCUCUGUAAGUGUCAAGUAUCUAUGAAAUGGUGACAGUGAUGCCCAAUUCACAGAGUUGUUUUAAGGACUGAAUGAGGUGAGUUGUAUAAAAUGCCUGGCACAGUGCAGAAGCUCAGUUAAUGAUAGUUUUUCUCAUCCUCCUCCUUCUCCUCCUUUUUCUUCUUCUUCUAAUAAAAUAUAAUUGACGUAUAACAUUAUAUUAGUUUCAGGUGUAUAACAUGAUUUACUAUGUGUAGAUAUUGCAAAAUGAUCACCACAAUAAGUCUAGUUAACGUCCAUCACCUAGCAUAGUUAAAUUAUUUCUCUCAUGAUGAGAACGUUGAAGAUAUUCUUAUCAGUAUCAUUAAUCUUAGCUGUGGAAACAUGAUGUCAAGAGCUUUUGGGGGUAGGAAUAAUGGAAAAACAUCAGACUGAAAGUUAAAAUCUCUGGAUCUUAAUUUCAGCUGUGGAUGUUUACAACUGCUAACCUUUAUUGCAGCCUUAUGAUGUAUCCAGCCCGGAGCUGAGCAUUUCCCCAUUUGAUCCCAUUUAACCUUCACACCAGCUAGCGAGGUGUAGAGCUCAGAUCUGAACCUAGCAGCCAAUGCACUGAACCUCUAUGCUAACCCCCCUCUGACCAACAAUCUGUAAGACUUUUUCCAGCUAUAAACAUAUGUAGCCUGUAGUAAUGUCCUGACCCAUGUAAUAAUGUAAUCACUCACGUUCUCAUGUGGCCAAAGAGGAAUUUAUUUUUCUAUACCUGAACGUAUUUCCUAUCUUUAGGUUUCCUAUUUCUCCCUGAUGACAAAAAUUAUAACCUAGUCAUUUUCAUGAAAACCCAGUAGAAUUCAGUGAUUUCUCAAUUUAGAUUAAAGCUUGUUGCAAUUUAGGGUUUUCUCCCUGAGAUGACAUCUCAGUUCUGCAGGGAAAUUAUGGAUCAUCAUGUCCAGGAUAUGCUUGGUUCAUGAUGGUGGUAGAGACAAAACUAGGUCUUCCUAAAUCCUGUUUCAUUUCGUCCACCUGAGCACACAGGAGGACUGCAUUUCCCAACCUCCCUUGUAGUUAGGUUGGGGUCAUGUGAUUAGUUCUGGUCAAGGGUCUGUAUGGGGAGAUAAGGUAUGCCAUUUAUUUGCUAAGGCAAUGAAAAGCCCUCUGUGUGACUUUCCAGUCCUCUUUUCUCCUGCUUGAGGCCACCCUGGAGGUCGUAACUAAGCAUUUGAAUCUCUGAGUCAUCACUUGGAAGGAAGCUACCCAGGAGGAGGAGUAAUGCAUCGGACCUAAAUGAAGGAGAAACAAACUUUCAAGGACCAAGAAAAAGGAGACCUCUGGAAGAACCAGGGCAAUAAGAACAUGCUGGGGGGUGGAAGGAGGAUCCUUAAUUUUUAUCUCUGAACAAAAUUGUGCUGAAUAAUGAGGAACAUUUGCAUCAUGCUGAUGUGCUUUACUCCACUUACAGCUCACAGCAGCCUGUCACGUGGAAAUUACCCAUCCUUGACAGGUAAGGAAGUUCAAGUGCCUAGCCCAGGAUCAAGUGGCAAUGCCUGGGCCUGGGGAGGGUGGUCUUUCUUCAGGGCAUGUGUCAGCACAGCUAGAAAAAGAAGCCUCUACAAGGAAAAACCAAAGGCAAAUACAUGGAGCCAGUGCACGCCAGGGCAAGCUGCAAGUGUGUGGCUGUGCCCAGUGAAACCUCAAGGAUCCUCAAGACCAGCAUGUUUACGGGCAUCCACGCUACGGGAUUCAAAGAGAGAAGAAGGUAAGCUCCAAGAGCAUGGACCCUCUGUUCUAGGCAGUGCUGUGUCCCCGGGGUCCUAGAGCAGCGUCUGGCCCACAGCAGGCACUCAAAUGGUAUUUGUCCAAUGAGUGAAUGAAGGAAGAGAAAGAAAUGGGACCUGCUCUCAGGUCCCUCAUCAUUUGGCUGAGAAAACCAAUUUCAUGAAGAAGGAAAAUAGGAGAGCAGGUGAAGCACUAAACCAGGAGAAAGAAACUCUAAGCAAAUAUGAAUGCAGUGAAGAAAAACAAUCAGUAUGUGGGUAAGGCCACCUGCAUAUCAUAAAUGUCACAUCUGUGUCACACAACUGACGUGGCUCCAGGGUUGUCUCUGUAUGACUUACAGAAAUCAUGAUGACUGGGAGUUCUGUUUUCUGUGUAGCUGGUAUGAGAACUCUUAAGGAGAGGCUCAAUUUGUUGGGGAAAGCUUGUUUUUAAGCAAAUUGGGAUGGAGUGAGUCUAAAGGGUAUACACAGAGGAUGGCUGCUUCAGAAAGGGAUAAAUGAUUGGGCAUUUCUAAAACCUCACGAGGGAAGAGAAAGCAGGGUCAGACCCCAAAAAGAGAUGGGUAGAGUGUGUCAUAGGGGAAGGUGCUCCCAAGGAGAGUCUUGUCUUUUGAGGCUUUUGUCAAGCAAAAAAAAUGUGUGCUGUGUGAUGUCCCUUCACCAAGGACCACUGACACCCCAGGGAGAUGACAAAGGGCCUGGAUAGGUUGGAUUUCUGGUGGCAACAGUGAAGGAUGCAGGACUUGUAGUUCCUGGUUGGAGUGGAGCUGAAACAGAGUCAAACACACGUGAUCACGCUUUUCCACAAGAUUGGUGUGAGGGUUAGUAAAGUCAGUACUUAGUACCUAGGACGUUUACCACCUGGACAAGGAUGAGGUGAGAUGGGGGGACUUAAAAAAUUAGGCCCUGGAGGAACAGGAACUGAACAUCAGUUCAUUCUGUAUAGUGACUAACCAGUCAGGGAAAACUCACGGCAUAGAUGCUGUCAUUUUUUCAGGCUGUGCGCAUGGCAGAUAUUGCUAAUGGAUUUCAACACUUUCUCAUCCAGGCCAGACUCACAUUCAGAACCUUCUCAACAUUACACCCCAGGUAGCCACUACCAAUGGAAUGUUGGUUUAGGAGAUUAAGUCAAUCCACCUUCCUUGGUCUGACCCAGAGGCCACAGACAGGCAGGCAGCUGAUGAGCUGAGUGGGGACUAGAGAUACAAUGGGUUGGUUUUUUAUUCCCUCACAUAAGAUUUGAAUUAGCUGAUGACAUUUUUAAUUGGGAAAUUUCAAAUCAAUAUCCAGAUUUCUGGCUUCUCUUGAAAAAUUAGUGUCUGGCAACGUUGCACUGCUGAGGAGUGGCUCUUCCCCCACACACCGUGAAGGGUUGUGUGCUGUGCAGUUUGCGGGUCCUCUGUGGCCCCUGUUGGCCUUUUGGAUUGCCUGCAUCCCUGCCUCUCAGCCUAACCAGCUGAGCAUGGGCAAGAGAGUGGCUCUGAAGGCGGCCCAAGUUCGAGUCUCACCUCUGCCCCUUAGGCAUCGAGUGACUUUGGACAAGUCCCUUAUCUUUACUGGGCCUUGGCUUUCUCAUUUGUGAAAUGGGGGAUAACAAUAGUACUUACCUCAUCAGGUGGUUGUGAAGAUCAAAUGAAUUAGAACAGGAAUUAGCACACAGGAAUCACUAAAACAAGCUUAGCUAUCAUUGUUAAGCCUUUGAAGUUUCUGUAAACACUGGAGAACCUGUCUACAAGUCCUGAGGAAAUGAGGCGCAGAAGGGCCAGACAGUGUCCCCCCAUGCAGGAGGACUUGGGGUCCUUGCUGAGGGCAGGUCUCUACCACCCACCCCAGGGCUUGGAAGCAGCUUUCUGUGUCUGCAGCACUCAGAACACUUGCAGUGUAGAGUAUGUAUUUGAGCUCAGGAAAAGGAAAGAAAACGCUUGUUAUUUGACCUCACUGUUUUAAGGGUAGGCCUGGAGGGUGCUCCUAUCUGAGAGGAGUUACAAGAUGAAGCUAAUUAGUGUAGAAAUGUUGGCUGGAAUGUACACUCAGAGCCAGGGAAAGGGGUCCCCGUUUUCUCUAAUGACAUACUUUAAUAGGGUGGAGAUUCAAAACUACAAACACACAAAAGCAAAAAUAAACACGCAAACAAAACCCAGCAGCACCAAGACAAGCCUGAGAGGCAAAAGUCAGCCACCUCUUACUUUUCAAUCUGGGGGGUGCUCUUCAUGCUGACGCUCAGUCUUCCCACCCCCCUGAAAUACCCUUCUGUCCCACACCCCUCAGCCUGCGAACAUUCCGCUGCAGCUCCAGGAAAACCAGAGCAUCCACGUUGGCCUCUGAGACCACAGGGAACACUUGAUGAGGACGUGCCUGGGGUGGGGGCCUGGGUGGCACGUGGUGGAGUGAGUAGUAGCUGGGGGCACACAUGGAUUAUUCAGCGAAAGGAGCAAAUCUCCCCUCCUUGGGGAGACUGAGCCCAGACUGCUUUUGAACUGCAUACCUUGUUUCCUCUCUCCUUGAGAGAAAAAAAGGCCAUUGGUUCUGCUCGAAAUUCAGCCAGAUGGGUUCCUGAAUGCCUGUUGGGCCUCUCAUUUCUCCAGUUUUGCCAGCCUCUGCUUUGGGUGUUUACAGGUGAGAGAGGGUAGAUUUAGAUACACCUGCGCUGGAGGGGAGGGGAGGGGAGGGGAGGGGGAGAGACACAGGGGAUGGGGGACCCCAGAAUAACCGAGGAGCUCACACCUAGUGGAGGUGAGAGAAAUGGAGAGAGAAUAGAUGUGAACCCUACAGACUCUCCAAACCUCCAAUCCCUGGAAGCGCCCAGCCACCUUCUCCCAUGUGCUCUGUGGGCCAGUGCCCCCAGCCUGGCCCUGCACGCAGCCCACGUCCCCAAACCCUGGCCACAGGAAUGAACUGCUCUGAGAUUGCCUAGGCCUAUGGACCCCACCUUCCUCCUCUUUGCUCCUUCUGUAUGUAAUUCAUGGCAGGAGGGACAUGCCAUGUCAAAAUAUUUUUCCUGGAGCAGGUUAGAGAGC